UUUCUUACAAUUUAUUAGACUCUGCAAACUGUAACUAUAGCAAUUUUAACAAAUGUUUAAUUCACUGCAAUCUGGUGCUUAGUGAACACUAAAAUGAGUGUUACUGAAAGCAUUAUAGCUGGAUGUCUUUCUGUUUUCUAAAACAAUCUUUCUAAAACCGAACUCUUCAUCUCUCCCCCUGUAUUCUCCCUGCAGGUCAACAGGACACAUAUUACCACAACCUCACUGCUUUGGUGUUACCUUUAACACUUUUAAUUUCCCAACUUGCC